AGUUGUUAAAGUUGCUAUAUAUCAAAUACGAGUUAAAAGAAACGUUGCCUUGUCUUUUAACGCCCUGAAAUUGGGCCUCUGUCUCUUUAAGAACUCCUGCUCUUUCUGAAACUCCGCCUUCAGGAAGUCACCACACAUCACUCCCCUAUUAACCCUUCAAUACUUGUAUCACUUUACCAGCGUUGCGCUGAGAAGUGGCUCCUAUAAUGAGCUCAGCAUGAUGUGCAGUUCCACCAGGUGUUUGCUAAUUGUUGAUGGCUAGUCUGAAGGAGCUGUCCACAACACCAACCAGGCGUUUUGGUCAGCUGAACGGUUGCCAAGGGAGUUUAAAGGAUUUCUGAAACAUGCAUGAAAGAAUCAAGUCAACACUCCAGGUUUUCCAUGAACGGCACAUAUUCAAAAGAGGAUAAAGGAGGGAGUCUCUUCCGCCGAGGAGGAGAGCCGGUUCAAAGGAGCCAAUUCAUGCAAAU